rnacentral:rRNA from 1 species
GGCGACGGGUGAGUAACACGUGGGCAAUCUGCCCUUCACUCUGGGACAAGCCCUGGAAACGGGGUCUAAUACCGGAUACGACACUCUCGGGCAUCCGAUGAGUGUGGAAAGCUCCGGCGGUGAAGGAUGAGCCCGCGGCCUAUCAGCUUGUUGGUGAGGUAACGGCUCACCAAGGCGACGACGGGUAGCCGGCCUGAGAGGGCGACCGGCCACACUGGGACUGAGACACGGCCCAGACUCCUACGGGAGGCAGCAGUGGGGAAUAUUGCACAAUGGGCGAAAGCCUGAUGCAGCGACGCCGCGUGAGGGAUGACGGCCUUCGGGUUGUAAACCUCUUUCAGCAGGGAAGAAGCGAAAGUGACGGUACCUGCAGAAGAAGCGCCGGCUAACUACGUGCCAGCAGCCGCGGUAAUACGUAGGGCGCGAGCGUUGUCCGGAAUUAUUGGGCGUAAAGAGCUCGUAGGCGGUCUGUCGCGUCGGAUGUGAAAGCCCGGGGCUUAACCCCGGGUCUGCAUUCGAUACGGGCAGACUAGAGUGUGGUAGGGGAGAUCGGAAUUCCUGGUGUAGCGGUGAAAUGCGCAGAUAUCAGAGGAACACCCGGUGGCGAAGGCGGAUCUCUGGGCCCAUUACUGACGCUGAGGAGCGAAAGCGUGGGGAGCGAACAGGAUUUAGAUACCCUGGUAGUCCACGCCGUAAACGGUGGGAACUAGGUGUGGCGACAUUCCACGUCGUCGGUGCCGCAGCUAACGCAUUAAGUUCCCCGCCUGGGGAGUACGGCCGCAAGGCUAAAACUCAAAGGAAUUGACGGGGGCCCGCACAAGCAGCGGAGCAUGUGGCUUAAUUCGACGCAACGCGAAGAACCUUACCAAGGCUUGACAUACACCGGAAACCUCUGGAGACAGGCGCCCCCUUGUGGUCGGUGUACAGGUGGUGCAUGGCUGUCGUCAGCUCGUGUCGUGAGAUGUUGGGUUAAGUCCCGCAACGAGCGCAACCCUUGUUCUGUGUUGCCAGCAUGCCCUUCGGGGUGAUGGGGACUCACAGGAGACUGCCGGGGUCAACUCGGAGGAAGGUGGGGACGACGUCAAGUCAUCAUGCCCCUUAUGUCUUGGGCUGCACACGUGCUACAAUGGCAGGUACAAUGAGCUGCGAAGCCGUGAGGCGGAGCGAAUCUCAAAAAGCCUGUCUCAGUUCGGAUUGGGGUCUGCAACUCGACCCCAUGAAGUCGGAGUUGCUAGUAAUCGCAGAUC